AACGAACGCUGGCGGCGUGGAUAAGACAUGCAAGUCGAACGGGAUAACAUCUGUAGCAAUACAGGUGUUAUUUAGUGGCGAACGGGUGCGUAACACGUGGGCAAUCUGCCGAGAAGUGGGGGAGUAGCUCGCCGAAAGGACGGAAUUAAUACCGCAUAUGAUCAGCUAAGACAUCUUAGCGACAUCAAAGACCGGGGCGAACCUGGCGCUUCUUGAUGAGCCCGCCGGCCUAUCAGCUAGUUGGUGAGGUAACGGCUCACCAAGGCUAUGACGGGUAGCUGGUCUGAGAGGACGACCAGUCACACUGGAACUGAGACACGGUCCAGACACCUACGGGUGGCAGCAGUCGAG
rnacentral:rRNA from 1 species